rnacentral:rRNA from 1 species
GCCCCUUCGUGGGGUGACUGCGUACCUUUUGUAUAAUGGGUCAGCGACUUAUUGUCUGUGGCAAGCUUAACCGAUUAGGGGAGGCGAAGGGAAACCGAGUCUGAAUAGGGCGUAUAGUCGCAGGCAAUAGACCCGAAACCGGGUGAUCUAGCCAUGCCCAGGGUGAAGGUGCCGUAACAGGUACUGGAGGCCCGAACCCACUCCUGUUGCAAAAGUAGGGGAUGAGGUGUGGCUAGGAGUGAAAAGCU